CGCCAGAUAGCUCAGUUGGUAGAGCACCUGACUAGAAAUUCAGGGGGCCGGGGUUCGAAUCCCGGUCUGGUCC
rfam:Crassostrea gigas strain 05x7-T-G4-1.051#20 contig9423, whole genome shotgun sequence.